CCAUUUUUAUCUUCUUUUAGUAACCGCAGAAGGAGGACGCGAGGGGAGUGGUCUAGAGCUAGGGUGGUACAGACGGUGAAGGCGGGACCCCAGAGGCCGCUGGAGGCGGCGGCGCCGGGGAGACGGGCUGGAGAGGUAGGGGAUACUAGAUCGGUGCGCACCUGUCACCGUUCGCGACGAGCGCUUGGAGCGGGUGGGGAGGGUGCGGGUAGUGGGCGUGGUGGCGGAGGAGAAUAGACGCGAGAGCCGCGAGAGGGAGCGGUUCGAGGCGGCGAAGAGGCUGCCGCGGCGGGAUGACCGGAGCGAAGUGGGUCUAGGGCCGACGGGCGGCGGCGGGAAAGAAGAGGCGGAGGACGUGCGAGAGGAGGGCGAGAAGAAGGGGCUGGCGGGGGAGCGAGAGCUGGCGGAGAUGUGCGAGGAGAGUAGCCAGGCGCGGGCGGGACUGCGGGUCGUAGGGCUCACCGCGGCAGCACUGCGGGAGCAGAGCAGUUAGGAGCGGAGGCUAGUGGAGCGGGUGGCGCUCAAGCUGCAGCGGUAACGGGAGCACUGACUUGAGCAGCGGGCGCUUGGCCUGUUGGGCCAGGACGAGAGGGCGGAGCGGAUACGGGUGGAGGUCUAGCCGUUGGAGCGACGGCGGAGGCGCCAGAAGGUUGUGCAACUUAGGCAGCGCCGGCCGCUGAGGAGAGUGCUGUCGGAGGACAGAGCAUUGGCGCGCGAGCUCACGUAGCACCGAUUCCUGAUACGGCGUCGCCACGCCCUCAUGCUCGCGACAUAACUUCGACUGGGCCGACUGCGGUAGCGGCACUUGUUGUUCCGCGACACGGAUUACAUGAGCGCCCUGGAGCCGCUACGGUAGUUCCACGAACUCCCUCGCGACCUCUGCUACGGGUGCCGCCGUGAGUUGCUCUGUCACCACCAGUUAAACACAUCGUACAUGCUCGAACGGAAACAGUUGGUACCACUCCAGUUCGCUUGGGAACGGCUAACCUAGUGCUCCCACCGUGGUCUGCUGAAGCUGUUCAGGACGUGUGCGUACAUCCUCCAUGACCUUAAGUCGUAACUUAAUAAGUGGACGACGAUCCUACACGAGAUCGUCUCUCUAACACAUAAACACAACGAUAUCAACGAGGUGUGUGACCUCAAACUAACAAGUACAAAGGUACUGUAAAUAGUAAAUUACUAUUGACUUUCAAUACACCAACGUCACUGAACGAGUUGACCUUCCAUGAUACACCAAUUGUUUAUUAACCCUUAAAGAUCGUAAUACAACACGACAAACUUUACGUCACUAGUAUACACAAGCCUUAUGAAAAACGUAUGAAAUUUUACUGAUUACACGCGACCUUCCGAUUUCAAACCUUACGUUACUAGUAUACAUAAACCACAAACCAAUAUUCAUACAAGGACAACAAUAGGAAUGAUUUUCGUUAAGUUGUAACAUUAAUAGUUUACAAAAUGGCGACGUGGUACUAUUAAGGAAAAGACUAAUUACGUUUCCAAUUUCUUAGAGAAUUGAUUUCGGACAUUCUACCGUCGAUACACUAAAUGUUUACAACACCGGUUCUAUAUCUAAGAGGGGUGACCUCGAUCACUAAAGUGGGAGGUGGGGGGUUUUUACGUUACCGUCCCUUAUACCCCUGCCUAAUAUCACACGAACAAAAUUGGUUAUUCAUCAUAAUUUUUAUGUAUCCAGAUAAAUUGGUUAUUAAUACUAAAGGUAAACGUCAAAGUAAUUCGUACCAUUGUGUAUAAUAUCGUUAUUAAUACAGUCAACGAAACGUAUAACCUUGUAAUAGUGAAUCAUGGAACUCAACACAUCCAAAAACAAUAGUUAUUUCUGAGUCUAAAGUAAGGUACGGAGUCAAUUAUUAUCGUACGAACGCUUUAUGUUUAAAAGAAACGAGACCCCGUUCGUUUAAAUUGACGGUAGGAGUGUUAUUUUACUGUACCUUAUACAUAAUCCCUUAUAUAACACGAACAAAAUUGAUUACUAAUCAUAAUUCUCCAAGUACCCACGAUCUCAUAUACAAUGAAUUUAUAGACCCGUACCAAAACUUAAACGCCAAACUAGGUCAUACCAUUGUGUAUAAUAUUGUUCUUAAUAUCGUCAAGAAAAGGAUAAUAUUUACUAGAGAAUAAGACAAUCAUGUAACUUGAAACAUCCAUAACAAUAGCAAGUUUUAAUUCUAAAGGUAAGGUACGCACAGAAAUUAUUAAUAAACUCAUAGACGGUACAUCCUUUUUUUUCCAUGGGGGAGACACGAACUUUUCUUCUCCGUAUUUACAACUAUCAAAAAAGGACGUCUGAACCAGUUUGAAACGUAGUAAACUGAAGUCUGUCUUAAACAUGCGGAAAAAAAGUUGGUACCCCCUUCAUGUAUUUCUGGUGGUAUGUACUACAACCUUCUCGAUCCAUGAGUUUUGUCAUUUUAUCUAAUAACACCAACGUGACCGUAGGUAAGUGUUUCCACGACUAGUGGAGCAUAGGAAGCGAGAGAAAUUGUCAACUAAUGAACUUGAAUAAGGUAUCAUCUCGAGAGUCAAAAGACUGACAGUCAAGCUCAUAACAAUCACAGUGGCUCUGAACUGCGGAACUUCCACUAAUGUGGUGAACUCCAAAUUUCUGGGAACGUGUAACAAUAAUAGUCAGAACUCCAAAAAUUUACUAGGGGGAUUCUAUCCCUACGUCUACAACCAACCGUGAACCGUGGAACUACUUCUGGUCAAUCGACCUUCUAGGACGUAGUACGGUAACGGUAGUGAGUA
rnacentral:rRNA from 1 species